CAGCCGCUCCUCCUCCUCAUCCGUGUCGGCGUGACGCUGGUGUGCCAUCACUGCAGGGUCUGUGGCUAAUCAAGGAAGUGGUCUCUCACUGACACACUGAGAAGAAUGAAGUUAGUUCUUCUGUAAUUGAAAGUAUCAGUAGUAAACUUGGCUGGAGCUUGAUUAAUGGUGUAUUAAAAUCAGAAUCUUCAUGAUUAGAAACGUUUUUAAAACAAAGAAAAUUUUCCUGGAGCAGGAAACCAUUUUCCAUCCGAAGUAGCUGUGGACUGGAAUCCUGACCACAGAUCAGAAAAUGUCAGACCAAAAGUGAGAGGAAGAAACUUCUCCU